rnacentral:rRNA from 1 species
UACAGAGGGUGCAAACGUUGCUCGGAAUUACUGGGCGUAAAGCGCGUGUAGGCGGUUUUAUAAGUCCGACGUGAAAGCCCGGGGCUCAACCCCGGAAGUGCGCUGGAUACUGUGAAGCUGGAGUCCUGAAGAGGAGAGCGGAAUUCCCGGUGUAGAGGUGAAAUUCGUAGAUAUCGGGAGGAACACCUGUGGCGAAGGCGGCUCUCUGGGCAGGUACUGACGCUGAGACGCGAAAGCGUGGGGAGCAAACAGG